rnacentral:rRNA from 1 species
GAUGAACGCUGGCGGCGUGCCUAAUACAUGCAAGUCGAGCGAACAGAUGAGGCGCUUGCUCCUCUGACGUUAGCGGCGGACGGGUGAGUAACACGUGGAUAACCUACCUAUAAGACUUGGAUAACUUCAGGAAACCGGAUCUAAUACCGGAUAAUAUAUUGAACCGCAUGGUUCAAUAGUGAAAGACGGUUUUGCUGUCACUUAUAGAUGUAUCCGCGCCGCAUUAGCUAGUUGGUAAGGUAACGGCUUACCAAGGCAACGAUGCGUAGCCGACCUGAGAGGGUGAUCGGCCACACUGGAACUGAGACACGGUCCAGACUCCUACGGGAGGCAGCAGUAGGGAAUCUUCCGCAAUGGGCGAAAGCCUGACGGAGCAACGCCGCGUGAGUGAUGAAGGUCUUCGGAUCGUAAAACUCUGUUAUUAGGGAAGAACAAAUGUGUAAGUAACUAUGCACGUCUUGACGGUACCUAAUCAGAAAGCCACGGCUAACUACGUG